AUACGGAGGGGGUUAGCGUUGUUCGGAAUGACUGGGCGUAAAGCGCGCGUAGGCGGAUCAGGAAGUUGGGGGUGAAAUCCCGGGGCUCAACCCCGGAAUGGCCUUCAAGACUCCUGGUCUUGAGUUCGAGAGAGGUGAGUGGAAUUCCAAGUGUAGAGGUGAAAUUCGUAGAUAUUCGGAGGAACACCAGUGGCGAAGGCGGCUCACUGGCUCGACACUGACGCUGAGGUGCGAAAGCGUGGGGAGCAAACAG
rnacentral:rRNA from 1 species